AGAAGCCUGGCAGGUUACCCCAGGCUGAGGAGAGGGCUAUGCUGGGCUGUCAAUCUGCUUGCAGCCAGAGGGAGACAAGCACUAUCUUCUACACAGGACUAUGUAUAUAUAUACAGGUGGAGGCCGAAGAUGCACCGCACCCUCACCUCCACUCUGAGAUGCACCCAGAGGCUGGCGAAGUGGAGGCCCUUGAGAUGGUGACAAUUUUUGUGCCUGGUUUAUAGAAACUGGCUCACGGGUGAGGUCCCCUGUCUGAGCAUCAGGAUUCAAACCCAGGUAAGUUUAAAGCAGAAUCUAACUCUCACCCAUCCUGGAAACAGUUCUCAGAGACAGGGAAACCUGUCCUAAACAAAGCACCAGCUUGUACCAAGACUUUUAAUCUUAAAAAGCCAUGGCCAAAGAAGGAAGCUUCCGUUUUCAGAAUGUUCCAGACAGCCAUGCCUGGAAUCAAGAGAUCAGAAUGUUCUAGAAAGCCAGCCAUGUUGGCAUCCUCUCACUGGCAUCUGGGUACUAUAAACUCAGCCAUUUACUUAGGAAGUAAGCAGUUGGGCCUGGUCUCAGGUUCCCACUGGGGUUCAAGACACAGAGCCAAGCUUGGGUAGGGACCCUCUUUCCUUGGAGAUUUCCCAGGGUCUGGGCAGCUUGCUACCCCAGUGCUGUUACAGGUAGAAAGAGGGAGAAUCUACUUAUCCCUCGCAUGCUGGGGUCCCUCCUAUGCUGACCUAUCCUUCCCCACACUGAGAGGUGGGCUUCCUGAGUAGGAAGGAGGCACACAGGAGGCUCUGCAGCCAUCUCCUUGAAGGAUAGGAGCAGGAAUGAUGGAGAGGACAGAGUGCUAGCCAAGGAAAAGUGAGGUCACUACCAGGACCAGGGGUAGUGAAAACCUGCUUGAUACUGUCUAUCUGUCUCUACUGGUGUUUGCAAGGACAAGUGUUGGGAUGAUGGUGUCACAGUUCAGAAGGAACCUGGACCCCUGAGCUGGCCCUGAGAAGCUGCCCACCUCUCAACCAACUUCAAAUGGAACCUAGAUGCACCUUCCCUGCCUCCCUCUCCCCCAUCUAAAACAUUUAGAAUCAAAAGUUUUUCACACUUCAGAUUACUUCCGAUUUUGAAUGUUUACACAGACUUAACUGGUUGGAUCUCUCUAAUUCUAACAACCCCACAUGCUGUGAGAAUCUGAAAUUGGGGUGCUAAAAGAAGCAGGACCCCAAGUCCCCCCCCACCCCAAUCUCCCGCAAGAACUCCUCAAAGCCCCUGGGACAAACUGCUGACCUGUGCCGAGUAGCAUGUUCUGUGGCGAUGUCCUCGAGAUGGAAUUCAGCCCAGGGGUCAGGCAUGUGCUUGGCUUUCUCGAUCGCAUGCUUCCAGGCUUCCUGUAGAAGGCAAGGGGAGUGAGCGUGAGGCCCAGGCCAAGGGCAACCAGCUGUCUCUUCCCCAGUUAUGUCCCCUGGGGAGGAACACAGCAUCCAAAAGAAAGGAUUCCCAUCCUCUGCCCUAUCAAGAACAGUCCCGGAGGGACCCAGUGUGUUCUCACAGGCUUAGCCUAUGGAUAGAAGUCGCUGACAUGUUAAUUACACAAUUCUUCCCUUGCUGCCGAAAUGUUGAAAGCGAAAAUUAGAUUUUUUUGAGGGCUGGAGAGAUGGCUCAGCGGGUAAGAACAUACACUGCUCUCGCAGAGGACCUGAGUUUGGUUCUCAGCAUCCAUACCACACAGCUCACAACUGCCUAUAACUCCAGCUCUAGAGGAUCUGCUGCCUUCUAGCUUCUUCAGGUACCUAAACCCAUGUGCAUGUACAUGUGUGUGCACGUACACACACACACACACACACACACACACACACACACUUUUAAGCUGAGCAGUGGUGGCACACGCCUUUAAUCCCAGCACUUGGGAGGCAGAGGCAGGCAGAUUUCUGAGUUCAAGGCCAGCCUGAUCUACAGAGUAGCCAGGGCUACACAGAG
ensembl:antisense